rnacentral:rRNA from 1 species
GGCGAACGCUGGCGGCGUGCCUAAUACAUGCAAGUUGAGCGCUGAAGGUUGGUACUUGUACCAACUGGAUGAGCAGCGAACGGGUGAGUAACGCGUGGGGAAUCUGCCUUUGAGCGGGGGACAACAUUUGGAAACGAAUGCUAAUACCGCAUAAAAACUUUAAACACAAGUUUUAAGUUUGAAAGAUGCAAUUGCAUCACUCAAAGAUGAUCCCGCGUUGUAUUAGCUAGUUGGUGAGGUAAAGGCCCACCAAGGCGAUGAUACAUAGCCGACCUGAGAGGGUGAUCGGCCACAUUGGGACUGAGACACGGCCCAAACUCCUACGGGAGGCAGCAGUAGGGAAUCUUCGGCAAUGGACGAAAGUCUGACCGAGCAACGCCGCGUGAGUGAAGAAGGUUUUCGGAUCGUAAAACUCUGUUGGUAGAGAAGAACGUUGGUGAGAGUGGAAAGCUCAUCAAGUGACGGUAACUACCCAGAAAGGGACGGCUAACUACG